rnacentral:rRNA from 1 species
UACGAAGGGGGCUAGCGUUGUUCGGAUUUACUGGGCGUAAAGCGCACGUAGGCGGAUCGUUAAGUCGGGGGUGAAAUCCUGGAGCUCAACUCCAGAACUGCCUUCGAUACUGGCGAUCUCGAGUCCGGAAGAGGUGAGUGGAACUCCUAGUGUAGAGGUGGAAUUCGUAGAUAUUAGGAAGAACACCAGUGGCGAAGGCGGCUCACUGGCCCGGUACUGACGCUGAGGCACGAAAGCGUGGGGAGCAAACAGG